UUGAACGCUGGCGGCAGGCCUAACACAUGCAAGUCGAGCGGUAGCACAGAGAGCUUGCUCUCGGGUGACGAGCGGCGGACGGGUGAGUAAUGUCUGGGAAACUGCCUGAUGGAGGGGGAUAACUACUGGAAACGGUAGCUAAUACCGCAUAACGUCGCAAGACCAAAGUGGGGGACCUUCGGGCCUCAUGCCAUCAGAUGUGCCCAGAUGGGAUUAGCUAGUAGGUGGGGUAACGGCUCACCUAGGCGACGAUCCCUAGCUGGUCUGAGAGGAUGACCAGCCACACUGGAACUGAGACACGGUCCAGACUCCUACGGGAGGCAGCAGUGGGGAAUAUUGCACAAUGGGCGCAAGCCUGAUGCAGCCAUGCCGCGUGUGUGAAGAAGGCCUUCGGGUUGUAAAGCACUUUCAGCGGGGAGGAAGGCGGUGAGGUUAAUAACCUCAUCGAUUGACGUUACCCGCAGAAGAAGCACCGGCUAACUCCGUGCCAGCAGCCGCGGUAAUACGGAGGGUGCAAGCGUUAAUCGGAAUUACUGGGCGUAAAGCGCACGCAGGCGGUCUGUCAAGUCGGAUGUGAAAUCCCCGGGCUCAACCUGGGAACUGCAUUCGAAACUGGCAGGCUAGAGUCUUGUAGAGGGGGGUAGAAUUCCAGGUGUAGCGGUGAAAUGCGUAGAGAUCUGGAGGAAUACCGGUGGCGAAGGCGGCCCCCUGGACAAAGACUGACGCUCAGGUGCGAAAGCGUGGGGAGCAAACAGGAUUAGAUACCCUGGUAGUCCACGCCGUAAACGAUGUCGAUUUGGAGGUUGUGCCCUUGAGGCGUGGCUUCCGGAGCUAACGCGUUAAAUCGACCGCCUGGGGAGUACGGCCGCAAGGUUAAAACUCAAAUGAAUUGACGGGGGCCCGCACAAGCGGUGGAGCAUGUGGUUUAAUUCGAUGCAACGCGAAGAACCUUACCUGGUCUUGUCAUCCACAGAACUUUCCAGAGAUGGAUUGGUGCCUUCGGGAACUGUGAGACAGGUGCUGCAUGGCUGUCGUCAGCUCGUGUUGUGAAAUGUUGGGUUAAGUCCCGCAACGAGCGCAACCCUUAUCCUUUGUUGCCAGCGGUUAGGCCGGGAACUCAAAGGAGACUGCCAGUGAUAAACUGGAGGAAGGUGGGGAUGACGUCAAGUCAUCAUGGCCCUUACGACCAGGGCUACACACGUGCUACAAUGGCAUAUACAAAGAGAAGCGACCUCGCGAGAGCAAGCGGACCUCAUAAAGUAUGUCGUAGUCCGGAUUGGAGUCUGCAACUCGACUCCAUGAAGUCGGAAUCGCUAGUAAUCGUAGAUCAGAAUGCUACGGUGAAUACGUUCCCGGGCCUUGUACACACCGCCCGUCACACCAUGGGAGUGGGUUGCAAAAGAAGUAGGUAGCUUAACCUUCGGGAGGGCGCUUACCACUUUGUGAUUCAUGACUGGGGUG
rnacentral:rRNA from 1 species